GCAACAGGGGAGACAAACUCUCUGGAUCCUUCGAUCGUUCGGGGUGCUGUCGCUGUCUUUCCUUUCCUCUUCGAUUCUCUAGAUGUUUCACGCGGCAGCCUCCGAUCAUCGUCGUCCCAUCACCCAUCGUCCUUCCGGUAGUAUUUCCUCUGCUUUUCACCGCUGGUUUGGCUCGUCCUUGUGCUCUGUAAUUCUGGGCUGAUGUGGAGUGCGUGGCAGUGGUCUUGGGUGUCCAAAUUAGUGUCUCUUCCAUCUUCUCCAACAGCUUGCGUGACUAGGAACAUGGGAAUUGUUGGUGGAAUUUGUUCGAAAGUUAAGGAACAAACCGAGCCCUAUUUUGUAUAAGAGGAACCCUUUUGGUACCAAAGGAUUGAGGUCCAAGCGAAGGAACCAGUGGAGGACGAGGAAAGGAAUAGAGCUAGGGGUUGUUUGUGAAUUGUAAAGAAUUGCAACCCCAAAUCUAUUGUAAUGUAUUUAGGAUUAGGGUGCCAGUAGGAUAUGAUUAUGUAUAUGUGCAUGAGUAUGUGUGGAUUGUAUGGCUUGUGUAUGAAUUUUUGAUUGCUUGUAGACUUGUGGUUAGGAAACUUGGCUAUGGUAUGUGGUUUUGAUGGAUUUAUUUAGUAGACUAAGUUUUCACUACAAGCAAAUAUUUAUUUUGAUAUAUAUGUG